UGCCCAGCAACUCCUAUCCCUACCUCCUCGUGGUACUGGCCGGGGUACGAGUAACCUUGGGGAAGAUCGGGUAACCAACCCCCGGUGGGAACUUUGGUCGUAUUCUGACAGGGAAGG
rfam:Aedes aegypti strain Liverpool supercont1.666 genomic scaffold, whole genome shotgun sequence.